rnacentral:rRNA from 1 species
CCGUAGGUAGAACCUGCGGAAGGAUCAUUAACGAGUAUCGUUGGAUUUCGGUUUUUGAGUUGACGAAAGUCCUCUCAGAAAGUGAAAUAUCCACGUACAAUACUUACCAAACGUCGAAAUGAUACGUGGUAGCACGAUUCGAGCACUCGCUAAUCGUAAUCGUGCUGUCACCAUUAAUCUAUAAUUUUACAUGAUGGCGAGAACACAUACAAAAUACAAGUUGUAUAAACUUUCAACAAUGGAUCUCUUGGUUCUGGCAUCGAUGAAGAACGCGGCAAAAUGCGAUAAGUAAUGUGAAUUGCAGAAUUUAGUGAAUCAUCGAAUCUUUGAACGCAAAUUGCGCUUUCUGGUAUUCCGGAAAGCACACCUGUUCGAGCGUCAAUUUUCAAAUGUAAUAUCCAAUGGUUGCUUUGCGAAUUGGAUGUAUUGGAUGACCGUUGCUGUGUCUUGCUGCUUAAUGUGGCGUCGAUCGGCACAUCCGAAAGUGGUCUAUAGCGUUGCGAUGCGCUUCGGUUGUAGCAAUGAUGGAGACAUUUGUCUCCGCUUUCAGCCUUGAGGUGUUAAGCUUAUGCGUUUACAUAAUCAGGUUAGCGCUAGUUAUGUAAAACUAACUAGCAAUAGCCGUGAAAUUUGUGACCUCGAAUCAGGUGGGGAGUACCCGCUGAACUUAAGCAUAUCAUUAAGCGGA